AGAGCAGUCCGGUAGCUCGUCGGGCUCAUAACCCGGAGGUCAUGUGGUUCAAAUCCCAUC
rnacentral:tRNA from 1 species